CGUCGUCGUCGGCGGCGGCGGCCGCGUCGAUCGUCGGCCGUGGAGAGAGAGAGAGAGAGAGAGAGAGAGAGAGAGAUCGAGAUCGAUAGAGAUCGAGAGAGAGAGAGAGGCAGCAGCGGCUCUCACCAAGAAGUGCGGCGGCGGUGUCUGCGGCGGAGGCGGUGAGGACCAUCGAGCGACGGCGAGAGACGACGG
rnacentral:sRNA from 1 species